GACGAACGCUGGCGGCGUGCUUAACACAUGCAAGUCGAACGGAAAGGCCCUGCUUUUGUGGGGUGCUCGAGUGGCGAAAGGGUGAGUAACACGUGAGUAACCUGCCCUUGACUUUGGGAUAACUUCAGGAAACUGGGGCUAAUACCGGAUAGGAGCUCCUGCUGCAUGGUGGGGGUUGGAAAGUUUCGGCGGUUGGGGAUGGACUCGCGGCUUAUCAGCUUGUUGGUGGGGUAGUGGCUUACCAAGGCUUUGACGGGUAGCCGGCCUGAGAGGGUGACCGGCCACAUUGGGACUGAGAUACGGCCCAGACUCCUACGGGAGGCAGCAGUGGGGAAUAUUGCCCAAUGGGCCCAAGCCGGAUGCAGCAACGCCGCGUGCGGGAUGACGGCCUGCGGGUUGUAAACCGCAUUCGCCUGUGACGAAGCGUGAGUGACGGUAAUGGGUAAAGAAGCACCGGCUAACUACGUG
rnacentral:rRNA from 1 species